AUUGAACGCUGGCGGCAUGCCUUACACAUGCAAGUCGAACGGCAGCAUGAUCUAGCUUGCUAGAUUGAUGGCGAGUGGCGCACGGGUGAGUAAUACAUCGGAACGUGCCCUGUAGUGGGGGAUAACUAGUCGAAAGAUUAGCUAAUACCGCAUACGACCUAAGGGUGAAAGUGGGGGACCGCAAGGCCUCAUGCUAUAGGAGCGGCCGAUGUCUGAUUAGCUAGUUGGUGAGGUAAAGGCUCACCAAGGCGACGAUCAGUAGCUGGUCUGAGAGGACGAUCAGCCACACUGGGACUGAGACACGGCCCAGACUCCUACGGGAGGCAGCAGUGGGGAAUUUUGGACAAUGGGCGAAAGCCUGAUCCAGCAAUGCCGCGUGUGUGAAGAAGGCCUUCGGGUUGUAAAGCACUUUUGUCCGGAAAGAAAUGGCUCUGGUUAAUACCUGGGGUCGAUGACGGUACCGGAAGAAUAAGGACCGGCUAACUACGUG
rnacentral:rRNA from 1 species